GGAGGGCCCGGCUGGGGGCGGGAGGGGGAAGCGCUGCCUGCAGGGCGGCGGGUCCGGCGCUGCGCCAAGGGCGGCAGGGGGAGCUCUGCGGGCCGCGCCCCGCUCUGCCCGCGGGCCGGGCCGGUGCGGGGGCCAUGGGCACCCGCCUGCGCUCCGCCGCGCUGUGCGGGGCAGCGCUGGCCGUGGCGGGCGGUGCGGCCGCUUGGGCCUGGGCCUGCCUGCGGAGGCGCGCCCCGCCGCCCGCCGCCCGCCCCGCUUUCGCCGCCGCCGCCGCCGCCGAGCAGGGUACGGGACACAGCAAGCAGAUCCUGGUGCUGGGCCUGGAUGGGGCCGGGAAGACCAGCGUGCUCCACUCCCUGGCGACUAACCAGGUCAAGCGCAGCAUGGCUCCCACCGAGGGCUUCAAUGCCAUCUGCAUCAACACCGAAGAGUCCCAGAUGGAGUUCCUGGAGAUCGGGGGCAGUGAAUCUCUGCGUUCCUACUGGAAGAUGUACCUGCCCAAAGUGCUGUUGCUCAUCUAUGUCGUGGACUCAGCUGAUCAUGCCCGACUGCCUGUGGCGAAACAGCUGCUUCAUCAGCUGAUCCAGAACAACUCCACCCUGCCGGUGGUGGUUCUGGCCAACAAGCAGGCUUGUGUGGGGAAACCAAGAGACCAUCUGGACCCUCCCGCGGGGUGCUGUGACAGCUCGGCCAUCCCCAAGAACAGUGGCACUGGCCAAGCCCAAAAAAGAUUUUGGCAAGCACCGGUGCAGACCCCUCUUCGUGUACAGCUGUGGGCGGGAAUCAACGAUCUGGGAGCGUCCCCCACUAGCGGAUUUUGGCUUCCCUUCUGAUCGGCUGCUGAAGUUGUCUGAACCUAAACAAGACGCUGCUGCCUACCUGCAGCAAAGGUUUCCCUGUUGGCUCAGAAGGCAAUUGCAAGCCCUCGGAUCCUGGAGCUAGCUAGGGCAAAACCAGUGCAUCCUAACUACGUACCUGUGCGGGAUGCUGAGUGGCCAGUGACAAAGGCAGCACAGCACGCAGUGGCCACACCAAGGCUUGUGGAACUGGCCCAGCCUUGCAAAAGGCCUUCUAUGAACUUUGUUCAACUCAAUCUAGAUGCAUUCACAGUGAAGGAGUCUGCUAUGAAGGCAACUUGUUCUGCAAGGAUCCAAGAGCUGGCUCGUCCCAUUAAGCGUUGAGCUCCCUCAGAAGCACAGCCUGCUGCUCGUGCCAGCUGCCCCCAUCACUCCUUGGAACAUCACCCUCUGUGGGCAGUCCUGUGGCUGGACAACCUGCUUGAGCAUGGCACAGAGGCAGCACCCAGCUGGAACGUUUUCUUACGAGCAGCCACUUUUACUGGGCUUAUCUGGAGGAGUUAAAUAAAGCAGUCAUUCUUUAGAAACAAAGUAGUCACCAGGGAAAAAGAGCAGAAUUUGACCUAAUAGGAAGCCUCUCUCCCUAGGAUGGGUUAUGUCUGGAGUUUGUCACUCGUCUUUUUUCUUUCUUUUUUCCUGUAAUAGCUAAAGAAGUUAUGAAACCACUGCCAGCACAGGAACUGUUCUUACACGUAAAGUGUGGCAAACCAAAGCUGAUGGCACAUAGCAGGUUGAUGCAACACAACUCCUGACCUUGGGUUUCAAAAUUUUUGAUAAAGUUUAGAAUUCAUAGUGACACUCAAAGUUUUGUGCUUGUGACAGAAGUAGAAACACAAAAGGCUGCAAAACUGCAGAUCCAGGGCUGGGUUUGGUAAGGCGUAGAGCUUUAGUACAGACUUUAGAAAUGCUGGGGUGGCAUGUGCAUUGAGUUGCCUGGGCUUUGGGGCCCAUUUUCUCAAAUGCCUGGAGAAUGGGCAGACCCAGCCUUCUGCAUUGCAAUGCUUCUGUGAUACAAGUUACAUAGUUAAAUCUUCAUUCAGUUGUGUGAUGCUGGGCAAAAUAAUGGAGCUCUGCAUUGGGAUUUUUGGAGCCUAACUCAAAAAAAGCAAAGUUCCCCUCAGUGCAUAUUGCAAAGGCUAAGAAGAAAAUAGAUAUUGGUGCCAGACUGCAGAAUAAACUUGAAGCUCCAGUUGGGUCUGAGGGUGAGUCAGUCUGGCAGCUGGACUGCAAGGGAACAACACAGCUUGCAUAGGACAUGGCACACGGAGAUUGCUUUUAUCUGUUUCCUGCCAGCUCAGUAUUUGCACUAGCAACCUAAGCACUGGCAAUGUGCUGGAGAUACUGAGGCAAGCAAGAUGCUGUUCAGCAAGGGUCAAAGGCCAUAAAUGAAAGCAUGUGGCAGUUUCAGUGCCAGUGUUUCUUCAUCUUCCCUGUGUUAAGCUGAUUCCCCUUCCAAAGGAGUAGAGGCAAGUGACCACAAAACAGAUGAGGAUUAAGCAGAGGAUCCACUAAGCGAUUCAAUAAUGCACUAAGCAGAGGAUUUUUUAACCCUUUUGAACAAGGUAGAGUAACUGGGCAAUGGUGCUGGUUAUUUUUUAGCUCAGGCGUUGUCCUGUACUGGGAUGGAUAAGAGUUCAGGCUUUGUGCAAGAGCCCCAGCACAGCUGCAUCCCUCAGGCUUGAGAAUGGCCAGAGGGAGUCUGGAGUCUGCACUCCCCACCCAGUGGGGGAACCUCAGCAUCACCAGCUUCUGCCACCUUGGGGCUCCUGGUGUGCAUGGGGCUGUGUGGGCUGCCAGGGAUGGACCCAUGGGUGCCUUAGAAGAGGAGGUUGUCCAUAUUUGCAGGCUGAGGCAAGAGGGAAAACCAACAGUGCCCACUGAGGCUGCCUUGGAGAAGUGCUGCCCUCCCAGAGGAAGAAGUCUGCCUU